CCACCAAUCAGCGUUCGUUGUUAUUUUCUUUUCCAUUUAAUUUCCAAGCUGCUCGACCGUCUGGUGUGUGCUUGAUUUUCGAUUUUUUUUUAUUCUGAUUGCUGAGAAACGACGCCGCUUUGGCACCUCCGCCCUUAACCAUGGCCAACCAUUGUUGACCUCCGCCGUUGAUUAGUCAGCCGCCCGCCGCCGCUCCACCCGAUGCACCUAUCUCACGCACCGAUUUUUUUCUCCAAUAGUAUGCGUCGCCGCCCUCCUCAUCUCUAUCUUCAAUUUGUGGGCUGUCAUAUACUGCUGCUGUAAACGCUGUCCGAUGCGCGUUCAAUUCUUUCACGUGUUUUUGCUUUAAUUGUUCUAAUAAAGCUCUGUGGUGAUCUUUGCUCUCGUCCUCUUUGCCGGCCGUCCAAACUCAUGGGCUUGUUGUGCUGCUAUUUUGGUUUUCAAUUUCACAUGGGUCAGUUUCAGAUUUGCAAAUUGCCCCGUAAAAGGGGCUUGAAGACUGUGUUUAUUAGAGAAGGGUCUGCUGGUUCAGUUAAUUCGGGGCGUAGCGCAAAUAUUCAGGGCUCCGGUGGUGGUGGUGGUGUGAUGCACGCGCCACCUGUUUUCAAGAAUCUGACAAAUCCAAACCUCUCACUUCAUCCCCAUGUAGGGAUUAAUGGAGGAGCUGGAAGCACAUCGGCACUCCGUGUGGAGAACCCGUCGCCAAUUUUUUCUCAUGGAAUUAGUAGCAUGGCUGUAGUGCCAAAUGGGUCCCGCUCGGGUGCACAAACAGUUAAGAAGAUGAGGGGUAGGCCCAGGAAAUAUGUACUCGAUAGAGCAGGUAAUAUGUCGUUAGGGCUGACCCCUGUUUCUGCCGCCACUCCAUCGUCUGAGCGGAUAUUCGGGGGAGAGAGCACGAAAGAGGCGGCUGCCUAGCACAUGGUGGAAACAAAAACUCGCUCCUCUUGGCGAAUGGAUGAACGCGUCAGCGGGACUACCAUUUUCACCACAUGUACUACACGUUAGAGUCGGAGAGGAUAUUGCGGCAAAAAUACUGGCAUUUGCAUGACAGAGACUGCGAUGUUUAUGCAUCAUGUGAGGUAGUGGAUCGGUUUCUUCGGUGACACUACGCCAGCCAACAACUUCUGGUGCCAAUAUCACGUUUGAGGGUCAUUUUGAGAUACUGUGCUUGUCCGGUUCGUACUUGCUCUCGGAAAAUGGCAGGCCCCACAUUCGGACAGUGACAUCAACAUCUCUGUGUGUAGUCCUGAUGGCCAUAUGAUUGGAAGUGCAAUAGGUGGUAGUCUUAUCGCAGCAAACCCUGUGCAGACUCUAAAGAAGAGACUUGCCUCAGUGAAUGAAGAUGCACAUGUGAACUAUAGGCCUCUCGAUUUAUCCAUAUCGCUUCGCCACAGGGAGCAUCUACGUGCAUAUGGACUCCAAAAAAUAGCAUAUGUGCUGCACUUUACAUCUAAUGAGUUAAUGAAAAGCUAUUUUUUUUCGUAAAACUUUCCCGUUUACAUGAUUGAUUAACUUUUCAGGGUGUUUCUUAUCGUGGUGGCUCAAUCUGUGUGCAUGAAAAAUUUAAGUUCCUCGCAUGAGCAAAACAGAUAAUCAGUAGGACGGAUGAAGUUCAAAAGACUGGUUAAGGGCAGGAAGUAGAAGCUAUGAAGGAGCGGAUAUGGUGAGACGGCAGUUGACAUGGGUCGAAACUGGAGGCUUCUUCGUGCUUUUGAUGCUAUGGCAAAGCUUUUCCCCAGGAUCUCAUGGUGGAGAGAUUUGUUGGAAUUUGGAAAUAGUUCAACAACCCUUUUACUGAUUUGUUUUGAUUAAAUUUUCAUUUAGUCUUUGCAUAUGGGGCUUCAGAACUUGAGAGCUUGAGAGAAAAUGUUAUCUUAAUGUUGUUACUGAGGUUUUUCAGAAUGCCCCUUCUAUGCUUAUUGUUGAGGUUAGAAAAGCAAAGUCAGAUACAUGCUAGACGCCGCUUUGUUCGAUUCUCGCCGCGGCCACCCCUUCCACUGAUACACAUGGUAGGCCACGUUCCGACGGCUUUCACCUACUUUUUUUCCACCUCGGCCCCUUCUCGACCACAUCGAAGAUUGGAUAAUUCAAAAAUAUACAGGUUUUGUGCCUUUUUUUUCACCUCUCCAUUUCUCUUCCAAAAAUUAUGCAAAUAUAUGUCAAUCAGCCAUUUUCUUUGCUGCUCCUGUUUUUUUUUUUUCUUACGGCAAGAUCGGUUCCACUAAAGAAAAAAAAAUAAAAAAAUAUGGUUUUCUGAGUUCCCUGUUUCCGUCCAAAAUUAGGCGUCGCGCUUCUAGCCAACCAGACUUCGUUCCAUGCUUCGGAAUUCUAUCGAAUGAGGUGGACUCAAAUUUUUUUGUCUUUGUUAUAUUUCAGCCAUUUUUCCUCCUGUCAGCACUAAAAGAUUCUGUUUUCCCAGAUUUUUUUUUUUUUUUUUUUUUUUAUUUCUCCUCUCACCAUGCUCUGUGUUAUAUGUUUCAUGCAUAGAGUUUUAAAAAAAAUAAAAAAUGUUUCAUGCAUAGAGACCCUAUGUUAGUGUUCUUCACUGACCAAAUUAUAAUAGACAAUAAAGCAGAUAUUUUGUAAAUUCAUAUUGAAAAGAAAGCUAAAACAAAAGUGCUUGUUUUUGGUUGC